AUUGAACGCUGGUGGCAGGCCUAACACAUGCAAGUCGAGCGGAUGAAGAGAGCUUGCUCUCUGAUUCAGCGGCGGACGGGUGAGUAAUGCCUAGGAAUCUGCCUGGUAGUGGGGGACAACGUUUCGAAAGGAACGCUAAUACCGCAUACGUCCUACGGGAGAAAGCAGGGGACCUUCGGGCCUUGCGCUAUCAGAUGAGCCUAGGUCGGAUUAGCUAGUUGGUGAGGUAAUGGCUCACCAAGGCGACGAUCCGUAACUGGUCUGAGAGGAUGAUCAGUCACACUGGAACUGAGACACGGUCCAGACUCCUACGGGAGGCAGCAGUGGGGAAUAUUGGACAAUGGGCGAAAGCCUGAUCCAGCCAUACCGCGUGUGUGAAGAAGGUCUUCGGAUUGUAAAGCACUUUAAGUUGGGAGGAAGGGCAGUAAGUUAAUACCUUGCUGUUUUGACGUUACCGACAGAAUAAGCACCGGCUAACUCUGUGCCAGCCGCCGCGGUAAUAC
rnacentral:rRNA from 1 species